AACUGAAUGACGCGUGGGUUACGCGAGGGUUGCGGAAGACGUGGAGAAUGGGUUUGACCAGACACCGAAAGUGUUUACCCUGGGUGACAACCGUCUUCCUCCCGCCUCUCUGCAAAAUCUAUCUUUACCCCAAAAAACCCUAGAGUCAAUCACACUGUGGAAUAGUUGGAGACAACGCCAAUUGGAGAUGCAGGUGUUGCCGCUGGUGAAGGUGGCGCUUGUCUGAGCCGAGGCGGCGAUGGAGGAUGAUUCGGUGGUGCCCCUGUGGCAGCAGCGCCUGGUGGCGCGGCGGAGGCUUUUCUGUUCUUAGUCUCAAUUUGGGGAUUUAGGGUUUUCGCUGCUCAAUCUCGAUUCUGUUCCUUGGGGUUUCGAUUCCUGUGUGAAGAGUUCGCCAUUUUGAAGGCGUGAAGAUGGCGUUGACAGCGGUGCAGUGAUUUGAAAAAGUGGCGGCGCCGUUGAGCUUUGGGUUUAGGCGGCGAUGAUGAAGGCGGCAGCCCUCUCCGACGAAGAUUUCCUACGUUUACCGACAAAGGAGACGGUGAAGCCAGAUACAGUUCCGAUGCGUCACAGUCCCUGCACCAGUCUUCAACCCGUUCUUGAAUAAUUGGAUUGGGACAUUGUUGUUUCCUCCAAAUGGAAGGGAAAACUGGGGUGACGACGUCGAGAUUAAAAGAGGCAGCGAAAGAAGUUUUCUCUCCCGCAAAGGGUGUGAUUUAGCGGAGGUGCUCAAUGGCGCGAUUUCGCAGAGGUGCUCGCGGUGGCGUCAAUGGCUCGCGGAGAAGAUUAUUGGUGGCGAUGCCGCGAUUUGAUGGAGUAGCUCUGUUCGAAGGAGUGAUUCAUUGAGGCCGAGGCUCCUCUUGUGGCUUCUUUGGGUUGGCCCUCGGCCCCACGGUGGGCGCCAAAAUGUUUCGGUGUACAUUUUCUUGUGUGUCUCUGUUGCUCCUGGAUAUCUGGGAUGCUUGCAUUUCUUCAACUGUUGUCCUUCGUAUUCACCAAAGGAGGGGGAGGUACCUGCAAAGAUACUCCGACGUUCAAGUCAGAUAUGAGUUAUGGAGCUGAAGCUCAGAAGAGAGUAAUUGGAUACUGCUCUGAAGUAUUAUUCAGGAUCUCUAGAGCAUAAAGAGAACGUACCUGGACUUGGGUCCUGUCAUUGUAUUUAUAAAGAAUAAAAAUAACCACCUUACCUAAAAGUGUGGUUAGUGGCUUUGACUGAUAUUUUAACUGUCUAAAAUAUCUAAGAUAUUUAUGUUAUUACAUAAAUAUCCUUACUACAUAACACUUUCAAAUCCUC
rnacentral:sRNA from 1 species